rnacentral:rRNA from 1 species
GUGAGGAAUAUUGCGCAAUGGAGGCAACUCUGACGCAGCCAUGCCGCGUGCAGGAAGAAGGCGCUACGCGUUGUAAACUGCUUUUAACCGGGAAGAAACCCCAGGACGUGUCCUGGGUUGACGGUACCGGAGGAAUAAGCACCGGCUAACUUCGUGCCAGCAGCCGCGGUAAUACGAAGGGUGCAAGCGUUAUCCGGAUUCAUUGGGUUUAAAGGGUGCGUAGGCGGAGCGUUAAGUCAGUGGUGAAAUCCUGCAGCUUAACUGUAGACUUGCCAUUGAUACUGGCGCUCUUGAGUGCGCUUGAAGUGGGCGGAAUGUGCCGUGUAGCGGUGAAAUGCUUAGAUAUGGCACAGAACACCAAUUGCGAAGGCAGCUCACUAAGGCGAUACUGACGCUGAGGCACGAAAGCGUGGGGAGCAAACAGGAUUAGAAACCCGGGUAGUCC